UACGUAGGGGGCUAGCGUUGUCCGGAAUCAUUGGGCGUAAAGAGCGUGUAGGCGGCCCGGUAAGUCCGGUGGGAAAGUCCAGGGCUCAACCCUGGGAUGCCGGUGGAUACUGUCGGGCUCGAGUCCGGAAGAGGCGAGUGGAAUUCCUGGUGUAGCGGUGAAAUGCGCAGAUAUCAGGAAGAACACCUAUGGCGAAGGCAGCUCUCUGGGACGGUACUGACGCUGAGACGCGAAAGCGUGGGGAGCGAACAGG
rnacentral:rRNA from 1 species